rnacentral:rRNA from 2 species
GAUUCCCCUAGUAACUGCGAGUGAAGCGGGAAAAGCUCAAAUUUGAAAUCUGGCAGUCUUUUUUUUCUUCUUUGGCUGUCCGAGUUGUAAUCUAGAGAAGUGCUUACCUGCACUGGACCAUGUAUAAGUCUCCUGGAAUGGAGCGUCACAGAGGGUGAGAAUCCCGUCUUUGACAUGGACUGCCAGUGUGUUGUGGUGUGCUCUCAAAGAGUCGAGUUGUUUGGGAAUGCAGCUCUAAAUGGGUGGUAAACUCCAUCUAAAGCUAAAUAUUGGCGAGAGACCGAUAGUGAACAAGUACCGUGAGGGAAAGAUGAAAAGGACUUUGGAAAGAGAGUUAAACAGUAUGUGAAAUUGUUGAAAGGGAAACGCUUGAAGUCAGUUAUGUUGGCUAGGGAUCAACCUAGCUAUUUUUUGCUGGGUGAAUUUCCUAGUCUGACAGGCCAACAUCAGUCUUGACUGCUGGAAAAGAGCAGAGGGAAUGUGGCACCUUUGGGUGUGUUAUAGCCCUUUGUCAUAUGUAGCAGUUGUGACUGAGGGAUGCAGCGUGCCAUGAGGCUGGGUUUCGACCACUAUCACGCUUAGGAUGUUGGCUUUUAAUGGCUUCAAUCGACCCGUCUUGAAACACGGACCAAGGAGUCUAACAUGCCUGCGAGUGUUUGGGUGGAAAACCCUUGUGCACAAUGAAAGUGAAAGUUGAGAUCCCUGUCGUGGGGAGCAUCGACGCCCGGACCUGAGCUUUUAGCAAUGGAUCCGCGGUAGAGCAUGCAUGUUGGGACCCGAAAGAUGGUGAACUAUGCCUGAAUAGGGCAAAGCCAGAGGAAACUCUGGUGGAGGCUCGUAGCGAUUCUGACGUGCAAAUCGAUCGUCAAAUUUGGGUAUAGGGGCGAAAGACUAAUCGAA